rnacentral:rRNA from 1 species
UACGUAGGGGGCAAGCGUUAUCCGGAUUUACUGGGUGUAAAGGGGGCGCAGACGGCGAUGCAAGCCAGGAGUGAAAGCCCGGGGCCCAACCCCGGGACCGCUCUUGGAACUGCGUGGCUGGAGUGCAGGAGGGGCAGGCGGAAUUCCUGGUGUAGCGGUGAAAUGCGUAGAUAUCAGGAGGAACACCGGUGGCGAAGGCGGCCUGCUGGACUGCAACUGACGUUGAGGCCCGAAAGCGUGGGGAGCAAACAGG